rnacentral:rRNA from 1 species
AGUGAACGCUGGCGGCAGGCCUAACACAUGCAAGUCGAGCGGCAGCGCGUCCGACCACCCUCGGGUGGUCGGAUGGCGGCGAGCGGCGGACGGGUGAGGAAUGCAUCGGAAUCUGCCUCGUUGUGGGGGAUAACGUAGGGAAACUUACGCUAAUACCGCAUACGACCUACGGGUGAGAGUGGGGGACCUUCGGGCCUCACGCGAUGAGAUGAGCCGCUGCCGGAUUAGCUAGUUGGCGGGGUAAAGGCCCACCAAGGCGACGAUCCGUAGCUGGUCUGAGAGGAUGAUCAGCCACACUGGAACUGAGACACGGUCCAGACUCCUACGGGAGGCAGCAGUGGGGAAUAUUGGACAAUGGGGGCAACCCUGAUCCAGCCAUGCCGCGUGUGUGAAGAAGGCCUCGGUUGUAAG